ACGUACACUCCUACGGGAGGCAGCAGUGGGGAAUAUCGCACAAUGGGCGCAAGCCUGAUGCAGCCAUGCCGCGUGUAUGAAGAAGGCCUUCGGGUUGUAAAGUACUUUCAGCGGGGAGGAAGGCGAUAAGGUUAAUAACCUUGUCGAUUGACGUUACCCGCAGAAGAAGCACCGGCUAACUCCGUGCCAGCAGCCGCGGUAAUACGGAGGGUGCAAGCGUUAAUCGGAAUUACUGGGCGUAAAGCGCACGCAGGCGGUCUGUCAAGUCGGAUGUGAAAUCCCCGGGCUCAACCUGGGAACUGCAUUCGAAACUGGCAGGCUAGAGUCUUGUAGAGGGGGGUAGAAGUCCAGGUGUAGCGGUGAAAUGCGUAGAGAUCUGGAGGAAUACCGGUGGCGAAGGCGGCCCCCUGGACAAAGACUGACGCGCAGGUGCGAAAGCGUGGGGAGCAAACAGGAGUAGAAACCCCGGUAGUCCCAUGAU
rnacentral:rRNA from 1 species